rnacentral:rRNA from 1 species
AGCGGCGGACGGGUGAGUAAUGCCUAGGAAUCUGCCUGGUAGUGGGGGACAACGUUUCGAAAGGAACGCUAAUACCGCAUACGUCCUACGGGAGAAAGUGGGGGAUCUUCGGACCUCACGCUAUCAGAUGAGCCUAGGUCGGAUUAGCUAGUUGGUGAGGUAAAGGCUCACCAAGGCGACGAUCCGUAACUGGUCUGAGAGGAUGAUCAGUCACACUGGAACUGAGACACGGUCCAGACUCCUACGGGAGGCAGCAGUGGGGAAUAUUGGACAAUGGGCGAAAGCCUGAUCCAGCCAUGCCGCGUGUGUGAAGAAGGUCUUCGGAUUGUAAAGCACUUUAAGUUGGGAGGAAGGGCAGUAAGUUAAUACCUUGCUGUUUUGACGUUACCGACAGAAUAAGCACCGGCUAACUUCGUGCCAGCAGCCGCGGUAAUACGAAGGGUGCAAGCGUUAAUCGGAAUUACUGGGCGUAAAGCGCGCGUAGGUGGUUCGUUAAGUUGGAUGUGAAAGCCCCGGGCUCAACCUGGGAACUGCAUCCAAAACUGGCGAGCUAGAGUAUGGCAGAGGGUGGUGGAAUUUCCUGUGUAGCGGUGAA